GACGAACGCUGGCGGCGUGCCUAAUACAUGCAAGUAGAACGCUGACUACUUUAGCUUGCUAGAGUAGAAGGAGUUGCGAACGGGUGAGUAACGCGUAGGUAACCUGCCUACUAGCGGGGGAUAACUAUUGGAAACGAUAGCUAAUACCGCAUAACAGUGUUUAACACAUAUUAGAUGCUUGAAAGAUGCAAUUGCAUCACUAGUAGAUGGACCUGCGUUGUAUUAGCUAGUUGGUGGGGUAACGGCUCACCAAGACGAUGAUGGGUAGCCGGCCUGAGAGGGUGAACGGCCACAAGGGGACUGAGACACGGCCCUU
rnacentral:rRNA from 1 species